rnacentral:rRNA from 1 species
UAAGGAAUAUUGGUCAAUGGGCGCAAGCCUGAACCAGCCAUGCCGCGUGAAGGAUGACGGCCCUAUGGGUUGUAAACUUCUUUUGUACGGGAAAAAACCUCUGGUCGUGUACCAGAGCUGAUGGUACCGUAAGAAUAAGCAUCGGCUAACUCCGUGCCAGCAGCCGCGGUAAUACGGAGGAUGCAAGCGUUAUCCGGAUUCAUUGGGUUUAAAGGGUGCGCAGGCGGAUUAUUAAGUCAGUGGUGAAAGCCUACAGCUUAACUGUAGAACUGCCAUUGAUACUGAUAUUCUUGAGUGUUGUUGAGGUAGGCGGAAUGUGUCAUGUAGCGGUGAAAUGCUUAGAUAUGACACAGAACACCGAUCGCGAAGGCAGCUUACCAAGCAACAACUGACGCUCAUGCACGAAAGCGUGGGGAUCAAACAGG